CAAAUCGGACUAGAGUGCUCCGUUAACUGGAGAGGAGGGACGAUGUCGCCAGCUUUCCCAUUCUGGGAAACCCUGGUGAAGGCUCUCUUCUGGCUCUCGACUGUGGCCUGGGGCCGCGAUCGCGAGGCUGGGCGUGCGUGUUGUUGCGCGCGCGCGGGGGUGUGCGUGUGAGCGGUGCGUGUAAGCCGGGCGUGUGUGCGCGCAGUCCGCGCGCCGAGUGUGGCCGCCGGGACCCAGCAGCCCGCCGCCUGCCCGGUGUCCCUCCUUCCCAGCUCCUCAGCCAUCUCACCGGGGCCUUCCACUACCCAUCCCUUGGCUUUGAGGCCUCCUCUCAAAGUUUCCUUGGCGCAGACGCUUAAGCGCAAAGGCUGGAGCCAAGACGCCGAGGUGGUGGAGGGCAAUCCUCGGCGUGGCUGUGCUGCCAGCACCUGCUCCUCACCGAACCCGCCUGAGCGCAGGUUUUCUUCCCACUUGGCGGGAGCAGGGGGAGGGGUGAAGUGGCAAGAAUCUGAGAGGAGCCCCGGCUCCUGACGGCACACACAGCUUGGCUACCCAACGAAUUUGUGGGGUCACCGAAGAAACCUGGAUCUGCAGCCAAGUUGCCUGAGCGGGGACAGGGAAGGUUUCCACGGCCAUCCAAGGUUGUCCCUGUAUCAGUCGCCACAGGCUUGAGGGUUUGGAGACACUGAGGCUGCCAGGGCUUUAGAACCGACAUUCCCUCCCUGACCCCUUUGAAAGGAAAAGCUGACAGAGCUGAGGCAGGAGGACGCCUGAAAGAAGCACGGGGGGACCUCUAUGAGCUUCAUCCUCCUUGGCUUUGGAUUUUAAGGACACGAAGGAGCAUGAACAACACGUCAAGGAAAUCUGAUGAUGAUGGUUUCAAAAUGUAGAAUCCUUAUUUGUGAAGUAUUCCAAAUGAAGUUGAGGAAUCUGGAUUGAAAGUACUUCAUAUUGUGGAAUUGGAAAGUGACAGAGGAAGGCAGCACCAUGUGCUCUUGGGGCUUCUAAUCUACUCCAUGGAUUUUUAACAUAUGAGCAUAGUGAAAUAAUCAUAAAAAGAGGUUCUACGAUCAAGAGCACAGGUGGACACCAGCAUGAGGAGCCCAGUCCAUAUUGAUGAAGUGAAAGAAGCAAAAUGCAGUAUUCAAGGCAUGUUUCAAGCAGUUGGCUGGUGGGACUUUGAGAGAUGCUGCUGCCUGUGACGUGGUGGAGUUACCAUGAUCAAGCACUCAGUUCGGAUUUCAUCCAGUGGCCAUGAUCUUUGUCUGAUAGACGGCGGCAGGGGUUGGAUUUUUAAAAAGGAGCAAACCAGGCCCAUAACCAAGGUGUAGACUAAGAAGUGGAGUCAUGCUUCACACGGCUAUACCAUGCUGGCAGCCAUUCCUGGGUCUGGCUAUGGUGUUACUCUUCAUGGGAUCCACCAUUGGCUGUCCUGCUCGCUGCGAGUGCUCCGCCCAGAACAAAUCUGUUAGCUGCCACAGAAGACGCUUGCUCGCGAUCCCAGAAGGCAUUCCCAUUGAGACCAAAAUCUUGGACCUAAGCAAAAAUCGACUAAAGAGCAUAAACCCGGAAGAAUUCAUCUCAUAUCCUCUGUUGGAGGAGAUAGACUUGAGCGACAACAUCAUCGCCAAUGUAGAGCCCGGGGCAUUUAACAACCUCUUUAACCUACGUUCCCUCCGCCUCAAAGGCAAUCGCCUUAAGUUGGUCCCUUUAGGAGUAUUCACAGGACUGUCCAACCUCACCAAGCUUGACAUUAGUGAGAAUAAGAUUGUCAUUUUGCUGGACUACAUGUUCCAGGAUCUGCAUAACCUGAAGUCUCUAGAAGUGGGGGACAAUGAUUUGGUUUAUAUAUCGCACAGGGCCUUCAGCGGACUACUUAGCUUGGAGCAGCUCACCCUGGAGAAGUGCAACUUGACAGCAGUACCAACAGAAGCCCUCUCUCAUCUCCGCAGCCUCAUCACCCUGCAUCUGAAGCAUCUCAAUAUCAACAAUAUGCCUGUGUAUGCCUUUAAAAGAUUGUUCCACCUAAAAAACCUAGAGAUCGACUACUGGCCUUUGUUGGAUUUGAUGCCCGCCAAUAGCCUCUAUGGUCUCAACCUCACGUCCCUUUCAAUCACCAACACCAACCUAUCCACUGUCCCCUUCCUCGCCUUUAAACACCUUGUAUACCUGACCCACCUAAACCUCUCCUACAAUCCCAUCAGCACUAUUGAAGCAGGCAUGUUCUCUGACCUGAUCCGCCUACAGGAGCUUCAUAUAGUGGGGGCCCAGCUCCGCACUAUUGAGCCUCACUCCUUCCAAGGGCUCCGCUUCCUCCGUGUGCUCAAUGUAUCUCAGAACCUGCUGGAAACAUUGGAAGAGAAUGUUUUCUCCUCCCCUAGGGCUUUGGAGGUCCUGAGCAUUAACAACAACCCACUAGCCUGUGACUGCCGACUCCUCUGGCUCCUUCAGCGACAGCCUACCCUGCAGUUUGGGGGUCAGCAACCCAUGUGUGCCGGGCCAGACACCAUCCGUGAGAGGUCAUUUAAGGAUUUCCAUAGCACUGCUCUUUCUUUUUAUUUUACCUGUAAAAAACCCAAAAUCCGUGAAAAGAAGUUACAGCAUCUACUCGUGGACGAAGGGCAGACGGUCCAGCUGGAGUGCAACGCUGAUGGCGACCCACAGCCCGUGAUUUCCUGGGUGACACCUCGAAGGCGUUUUAUCACCACCAAGUCCAACGGAAGGGCCACUGUGUUGGGUGAUGGCACCUUGGAAAUCCGCUUCGCCCAGGAUCAAGACAGUGGGAUGUAUGUUUGCAUCGCUAGCAAUGCUGCUGGGAAUGAUACCUUCACAGCGUCUCUCACUGUGAAGGGAUUCACUUCAGACCGCUUUCUUUACGCAAACAGGACCCCUAUGUACAUGACUGACGCCAACGACACCAUUUCCAACGGCACUAAUGCCAAUACUUUCUCCCUGGACCUUAAAACAAUACUGGUAUCUACAGCCAUGGGCUGUUUCACAUUCCUGGGAGUGGUUUUAUUUUGUUUUCUCCUUCUUUUUGUGUGGAGCCGAGGAAAAGGCAAGCAUAAAAACAGCAUUGACCUUGAGUAUGUGCCCCGAAAAAACAAUGGUGCUGUUGUGGAAGGGGAGGUGGCUGGACCCAGGAGGUUCAACAUGAAAAUGAUCUAAGGGCCCACCACGCUCUACUGUCUCUGUGUUACUGUUGGUCAUGAGUAAGACGUCUGAUAGAGUGAAUGGAUCACAAGGUUAUCAGGCAGCUUCACGCAGCUGCCCCUGUGUCAAAGCAGGAUCCAUGGAAGCAGGAGGACUUCUCAUGGAGACUGGCUGAUUAGAGGCAGGCAGGCAUGUGUCAGAGCCCUUCACACAGUGGGAUACUAAUUGUUUGCAUUGCAAAUAUUGGCAUUCUGGGGAUCUCAGUAAUGAACCUGAACCUUUGGCUCAUGCUGAUGGACAAUAAUUCAACAUUUUCUACCACUGCAAAACUAAAAGAAAAAAAAUUUAAAAAGAACAACCUACAGUGUAGGAUUUACAUAUUAAAAAAGACACAUUUGUCUAAAACAUACUCUACAGUAAAAUUUGUAUUUAUUAUCAUUUGUUAAAACCUUGCAUCAUACAAUACUGUUGGUUCAGCACCAAAAAGAGAUCAAUAUAUUCUUUUUUGAAACAUAUAUGCUGUAUAUGUUUUAAAGCAAUAUGAAUGAGAGGUUGUGCUUUUAGUUACUCACCAGUAUAGAUCCAAGUGUGAUCUCACCUUCCUCUUACCUGCAGAUAAACCUGAGAAUAGAUCCCUGGAAUAAUAGGCAGAGAUGUGUUGAGAUGUGUAUGUCUGAUGUAGGAUGCCAAGAAACAAGACCCAAGUCAAAACUGCUCAACUCUGUUAACUUCUGUUACUAUAAAUAAAGGCAUGUGCCUAGUUUUGAUACAGAAUGGAAUAUUUUUUAUACGUACACUACCAACUUGGACCAGUUUACUGUAACAGAAGCCCUUGGUUUCUCCAGAAGGUGGUACAUCACUAGAUGUACCUGUAGAAUGCAAGGGGCUGUGCACAGAACUGUGAAACAACACAGAAUGUGUCUUGAGGCUCUGUAGAAAAGAAAAAAUAGAUCAUUUUCAACUGAGAAGACUCAAACCUGACAGAAAAGACAUCAAGAAUUUAAAGAAAGGCUGGAGGGAGACACAGGAUCUAUUUAAAUUCUAUUUGCUUUAUUGCUCAUUUUUAUAGUUCUCUCCCGACCAAAGAAGAAUCAGUGAUUGUGCUUCUGUUUAAACUUUCAUGGCUUCUUAGGUUCUUUCUCUGAGUCCUGGCCAUCUGUAGGUUGCAACAUGGGGUUGCAAAUGUGGGGUGUGAACCAAGUUAAAGAAAACAUCAACAACAACAAAACAACAAAGCAAAACAACAGCAGUCCACUGAGACCAAAGCCAUUCAUUCUAUUUGGUAUUUAGAGUAAAGAUGUAUCAUUUUAAUUGCUGAAAUGAUCAUUUCCUUGUAGAAUAAUAUAUCAUAGGAUCAGUUAUUUCCAUUGACUUUUCUCUAUUCAACCCCUUUGGUCUAAUACCCAUGAUUGUUUUUAAUGAUUUUUUUUUUUACAUUAUUCUGCCUUGAUAGAAAAAAGUGGGCAAUAAAAUAUCAUUUGACAUUGGCUUUUUAAGUUUUUUAUUUGGAUAGAUGAGAGAAGGUGUAUCUUGGUACCUAGCAAACACUUGAUAUGGAUCUCUCUCCAUUUCUACUUUCAAAGGCCAUUCCCAUGACAGCCUCCUCACAUGUGAACCAGCAAAACUAUGAUUACUAGGCAAAGAACUCCUCCCAACAUAGGCCAUCGAGAGGAGAGAUGAGUGUUUAUUUGCUGUGGUCUUUGACUAAGUUGGAACCUGGAGCCUAUAUCUAUGCUUACACAGUUAGCUAAGAAAUGAUGCCAUAAGUAAAUAAUUAAUGAUAUAUUUUUUUCAAUAUGAAAUUACCUUGUCCACUUAGAGAGCAGUUUAUGUGUAGCUGUGUGUUUCCUCCAGAAGUGGGCAGGAGACUGGAACUGCUCAUCUACAGUCAGCUUCUCAACAGAUAGCCAAGAUGAAGCCCUAGUGACAGAAACAACCAAAACAACCAAAAACGUGCUUAAAAUGCAUGAAGGCUUAAAGCACAAUGUAGACAGAUGCUGCUCCUUCUAAAUAUAGGAAUCUGACCAAGAUAAGUUCAGGUGAUCUUUAGAUUUCUAUCCUUCAUUUCGCCUCAAUAGCCCUCCUCCCACACUCCAAGUUCCCUGCUAGACAUCCAGAAUGGAAAAAUGAGGAAGCAGCAGUGUGUGCAGUAGGUACCCUACUAUAAUGAACUAGAUCCCAAGGUUCCCUGGGCCAGCAGUGGUGAUAGUUCAGCCAGGAUCAAGUUCUAUAUUUUACUCUGUGCACACCUACCUGUUGGUAAAGUUUAAAUCAGGCACAGUGAAUGUUUAACAACAAUAAUAAUAAGCUAGAAAAACAAUCGUAGUAUAUUUUUAUUUCCAUUUGGAUGUUGACCACUGGUAGUAAGU